UGAACGCUGGCGGCGUGCUUAACACAUGCAAGUCGAACGAACCUUAGGGUUAGUGGCGGACGGGUGAGUAACGCGUGAGAAUCUGCCCUCAGGAGGGGGAUAACGGUUGGAAACGACCGCUAAUACCCCAUAUGCCUACUGGUGAAACGAAUUUCGCCUGAGGAUGAGCUCGCGUCUGAUUAGCUAGUUGGUGAGGUAAUGGCUCACCAAGGCUUCGAUCAGUAGCUGGUCUGAGAGGAUGAUCAGCCACACUGGGACUGAGACACGGCCCAGACUCCUACGGGAGGCAGCAGUGGGGAAUUUUCCGCAAUGGGCGAAAGCCUGACGGAGCAACGCCGCGUGAGGGACGAAGGCCUCUGGGCUGUAAACCUCUUUUCUCAAGGAAGAAGAUAUGACGGUACUGAGGAAUAAGCCACGGC
rnacentral:rRNA from 1 species